rnacentral:rRNA from 1 species
AACGAACGCUGGCGGCAUGCCUAACACAUGCAAGUCGAACGAGACCUUCGGGUAUAGUGGCGCACGGGUGCGUAACGCGUGGGAACCUGCCCUUAGGUUCGGAAUAACUCCCCGAAAGGGGUGCUAAUACCGGAUAAUGUCUUCGGACCAAAGAUUUAUCGCCUUUGGAUGGGCCCGCGUUGGAUUAGCUAGUUGGUAGGGUAAAAGCCUACCAAGGCGACGAUCCAUAGCUGGUCUGAGAGGAGGAUCAGCGACACUGGGACUGAGACACGCACCAGACUCCUACGGGAGGCAGUAGUGGGGAAUAUUAGACAAUGGGCGAAAGCCUGAUCCAGCAAUGCCGCGUGAGGGAUGAAGGCCUUAUGGUUGUAAAGCUCUUUUACCCGGGAUGAUAAUGACAGUACCGUGCGAAUAAGCUCCGGCUAACUCCGUG